ensembl:lncRNA
GACACAGCCUCUCACCACGGGGGGAACGUUCUGCUUUUACGCCCGGAGGCCACGCUUCGCACACGGCGCCUCUCAGAGGAAAAUUGUGGAGAGCUUCCGUCGAUAAUCGACAAUACACGGACGCUGUUUUGUAAAAAAACAACAACAAAAACGGAUUGACGUUGUUCAUGCUAUACAUUACCAUCAAGAAUUGUAGUGAAAUGGCAGUGUUUUGGAAGGUGUGUCGUCGACAAUGUUUUGGAUGGAUAGCCUGCCACGCUGCCUCUGUGACAGUUAGUUGUGGUCACAGCACAAGAAGAUGAGAGGCUUCAUUGAGUUUUGUGUAAUCUAAAGGCCAUUCAGCCCUGUGACUGAUGAAGUCCCCCUCCUGUGGCAGCCGACAACAGAGCACAAGAGACCCCACAAAAGGCACUUCGGAUAAAACAAAACCUCUCUAAUUGUGCCUUUGAACCGGUCAAUGGACCAGCGGGCCGGUUGACUGGUGGUCGGUCCCAGGGGUCGGUAUGUCCAAAGGCUCCGGUUUGGGGUGCUGUUGUGUGGGGAGAGAAGGCAGGACGCGGCCCUAUCCAAGGCCAUGAUAGAUGGGGGAUGCUUGUGGCCUAGUGUGGACACAGACACUCAGGCGAUUUGUUCCCAUUGUUGGGGGUGGUAUUGUGGGGCAGACCUGAUGAUGUGUGGGGUUAAAUGGUGACAGCUGAUGGUGCCAUAUAGGGGGAAACACAACCAGUCCUUGAAGUUGAUAUGAGUAAAUACAUCACACAUCUGAACAGCAGUGGCUUAUUUUUAUUUCCAGAAUUAUUAUAGUCGGGCAUUUCCAUGAAGAGGUAUUAUUUCAGUAGAAAACUAGCGCAAAUGGCACUAAUACAUCAGUGUUUUAAAAGUAUGAAAAACAUACAUUUUUUGGAUUUAAUAUCUGGAUUUAUUAUCUAGCUUAAUAAACCAGAAAAACACUGUUUAAAUAUUUUCAUCAGCAUCCUGAUUUCCUGCCUUGGCCGUAUUGAACUGUCGGGUGAACAGACUAGAAGCAGCUUCAGAAAAUAAUCACGUGGCCCUUAGAACCCGGAUUUAACCUACGACUCGCUUGGCACUGCGAGGAGGACUUGUUUCUCCUGCAUGAAAUCAUGUUUGCCAGUUCACACAAUCUUCUCCAUUUAAAUACAAAACGUAUUUUGUUUCAUAGUGUCACAAAAGUGGUUAUGAUUAUCCUAAAAAUAUUUUUGCUACAAUUUUCACUAUUACGGUGUCCAUAUUAGGACAGCCUUUACAUUAAAAAUCUGUGUUUUAAGUCAGGAGCUAAUUGUGCUCUUUAAUUGUGUUCUUUCCCCAGGGCUCUCCUCCUUUGCCAUCCCGAUUAGUUGUUGCUGUGAAAAGUGAACAGCCUUGCUGGUGUGAGUGCUAUGGCGCUGCAGUGUCAGACAGACAGAGACAGGGUGGCAGUCUGUUCCUCUCCCGCAGGUCCCACACCGAGCGCUGCUGUGCUCUCUCAAACCACUAGAACGUGCUCUUCAACAGAUUAUCCACACACUCCUCCCUCUCCCAUCUCCCUCUCCUUGAGAGCAGGGCCCUGCUUCUCAUUUGUAAAAGAGGCAGAAAGAAUGCAAUUUAUAACUGUGAAAGCAGUAUAAAACCAACACCGACGGUACUCCUGAGGUUCUAGCGCCAGAGCCGGUCUGGUAUAAACAUUCAUAGACUGGGUCCAUCCGGCCAGCACUGGACCCUAUCCUUCGGUCUCCCCAGCAGGAAUAAAGCCUUACUGCUAGAUUCCCAUAACACAGAGCUCUGGAAAAAGAGAGGAUGAUGAUGAUGAUAUACUAUAUUGAACAGUCAGACACUGAUUUAGAGAGAACAUUUAGAAAAACAUAUGACUGUUAGUGAAGACAUACAGUUUAGAGGUUUACUUACACCUUAGUAAAAUACAUUUAAACUCAGUCUUUCACAAUUCCCGACAUUUAAUCCUAGUUCAAAUUCCUUGUCUUAGGUCAGUUAGGAUCACCACUUUAUUUUUAGAAUGUGAAAUGUCAGAAUAAUAGUAGAGAUAAUUAUUUAUUUCAGUUUUUAUUUCUUUCAUCACAUUCCCAGUGGGUCAGAAGUUUACAUACACUCAAUUAGUAUUUUGUAGCAUUUCCUUUAAAUUGUUUAACUUGGGUCAAACAUUUUGGGUAGCCUUCCACAAGCUUCCUAUAAUAAGUUGGGUGAAUUUUGUUCCAUUCCUCCUCACAGAGCUGGUGUAACUGAGUCAGGUUUGUAGGCCCUCCUUGCUCGCACACGCUUUUUCAGUUCUGCCCACAAAUUUUCUAUGGGAUUGAGGUCAGGGCUUUGUGAUGGCCAUUCCAAUACCUUGACUUUGUUGUCUUUAAGCCAUUUUGCCACAAUUUUGGAAGUAUACUUGGUGUCAUUGUCCAUUUGGAAGACCCAUUUGCAACCAAGCUUUAACUUCCUGACUGAUAUCUUGAGAUGUUGCUUCAAUAUAUCCACAUCAUUUUCCUACCUCAUGACACCAUCUAUUUUGUGAAGUGCACCAGUCCCUCCUGCAGCAAAGCACCCCCACAACAUGAUGCUGCCACCCCCGUGCUUCACGGUUAGGAUGGUGUUCUUCGGCUUGCAAGCCUCCCCCUUUUCCGCCAAACAUAAUGAUGGUCAUUAUGGCCAAACAGUUCUAUUAAUGUUUCAUCAGACCAGAGGACAUUUCUACAAAAAGUAUGAUCUUUGUCCUCGUGUGCAGUUGCAAACCGUAGUCUGGCUUUUCUAUGGCGGUUUUGGAGCAUUGUCUUCUUCCUUGCUGAGCGGCCUUUCAGGUUCUGUCGAUACAGGACUCGUUUUACUGUGGAUAUAGAUACAUUUGUACCUGUUUCCUCCAGCAUCUUCACAAGGUCCUUUGCUGUUGUUCUGGGAUUGAUUUGGACUUUUCGCACCAAGGUACGUACAUCUCUAGGAGACAGAAGGCGUCUCGGUAUGACGGCUGCGUGGUCCCAUGGUGUUUAUACUUGCGUACUAUUGUUUGUACAGAUGAACGUGGUACCUUCAGGCCUUUGGAAAUUGCUCCCAAGGAUGAACCAGACUUGAGGAGGACUUGCAAUUUUUUUCUGAGGUCUUAGCUGAUUUCUUUUGAUUUUCCCAUGAUGUCCAGCAAAGAGCCACUCAGUUUGAAGGUAGGCCUUGAAAUACAUCCACAGGUACACCUCCAAUUGACUCAAAUGAUGUCAAUUAGCCUAUCAGAAGCUUCUAAAGCCAUGACAUAAUUUUCUGGAAUUUUCCAAGCUGUUUAAAGGCACUGUCAACUUAGUGUGUGUAAACUUCAAACCCACUGGAAUUGUGAUACAGUGAAUUAUAUGUGAUAUCAUCUGUCUGUAAAGAAUUGUUGGAAAAAUUACUUGUGUCAUGCACAAAGUAGAUGUCCUAACUGACUUGCCUAAACUAUAGUUUGUUAACAAGAAAUUUGUGGAGUGGUUGAAAAAUGAGUUUUAAUGACUCCAACCUAAUUGUAUGUAAACUUCUGACUUCAACUGUAUUAAGAUUGUUGAAGAUAAAGAUAUUCCUACAACAUAGGGAAAAACACAGAAAUAGUUUUACAUAGUAAUUGUAUUUCUAUGGGGAAAACAAUUGGAAUGACAUCAUCAGACUUAAAAACUGGAGUCCCUUGAAAGAGAGGUGUCGUAUUGCACCCAUAAUCUAUUUUCCCCCACUUCACAUGAGCUUGAAAGGAGCAGGAAGAGCAGAUGACUUUGAUUGACAGGCAGAAGGGGCUGUGGAUGUAUCAGUGUCUCGUUGGGAGGGGAGGGAGGGGUAACUUCCCUGACUGACAGGCAGGGGGCGGGGCUCUCCACAUCCAGAUGGAAAGAGGAAGGAACCAGACUGCUCUUUCUCUACAGAUGGCCAUGUUCAAUUAGAGCCACUGAACUCAGACCCGUUUCUAUUUUAUGCCCUAAAUGACACAACUAGCUUUUCAUCCAUUGAUGUGUUUUUUCUUUUCUUAUGUAGUUCUAGUUCAAUAUGCUGACAUAUAGGCUAGGUGUUACAUUUAAGUAUAACACAGUAAGGAAUAUACCUACUGAAUUAGAAACAAUUAUUACUAAUGUAUAAGAGAUAUAAGAAAAAGCCCUAUCUAAAUGUUCAGUUAAAAUACCAACCAAUGCCAUUCUUCUUUGUUCCAUAUGUCCAUAUGGCGAGGGUGCAGCAAUGACCGGCACAGCUCCCUUUUAGCAGGGUCCUACAUGUAAAUAAUGGAGUGAGAAAGGGAAUUAAAGGGAUAUGCAAGACUGCACCGGCGAUUGAAAGUUGCAGAUGAGGACCAGUCCGAGGCACCAACACUGUUCCAGGACCCUAAAUCUUUGUGCUCCUCAAAAGGACCAAUUUAGAUGGAUCCAUUUAGAUUCAUUAUCUGAGUUCAGCUAGCCAGAUGUGAUUAGGGGCCAGUCCCCAGGGGACAGUGGAUAGGACACUGGGCCAGGGAUGAUAUCCCCCCCCAUGCUGACUGACUACCCUGGCAUCCACCACAUCCACCAUCAUAAUCCCCCAGAGUCGAAUGGGUCUGAGCCAUAACUUAACACUACCUAUAGGAUUCACCCCAAAACCAGGAAGUAAGAUGUGGUAUUAUUUGCACUUGUUUGCGUACAUGUGAAUGCUCAUGGAAAUGAUUCAAUUGGGUUCACAAUGAGGGAAUUGUUAUAAGCAGAGAUGGGAAAACACUCACAUUGUCUGUAAGCCAAUAGCAUAAAGGGGGCUGAUUUUCUGUUAUGGGAAAUGUUGAUGCCAGUGGAAUUGAUUAUCUCCCUGUAGCACAAAGAAAGUAAUUAGUCUUAAUUAAAGGGGUUGUGUCAUUUGAGGUUUCAGGACCACGUCUCAGACUAACGCAAGUGACUCGGCUGUAUGUAUUUUUUAAUUAUCUAAUAAAUUCAUUAGCUCAUUCA